CGCAGCCUCUGCUGCUGUCGCUGUCUUGGCGGCGGCGACUGCUGCUGGCAGGGGGCACGCCAGGCACGCCCAGGAAGGCUGGGGUGCGGUUGCCUCGGGUUGUGCGUUCCCAGCAGCUAUUCUUUUUGUUAGCGAGCGAGGGAAGUUAGGAGGUGUAUGAUAAAACCAGGGAGCCCGGAGGCUAGGUUUGGUGCUUAACCUCUCAACUCAUUGGUCGUCCAAAAUUCCUUGCUGAAGUGCUUGAUUUUCUUCUGAGCAUUGUUUAAGUGAUUGAAGCAGCCAGCAUGCAGUUAUGGAUUCUGCUGGUUUCUGGCAUUGGCAGCUAAAAUUGAAGUCUCCAGUGAGCUAUACAAACUCAUUUUUCAAAGAUUUACAGCAAGUAAAUUUGGGCAAAUUUUCAGAAGUGGCGAAAGCCAAAUCCCCAAGUUCCUUCAGAUGAUGCAGCUGAGUUCUUUGUACAUCAAGAUAACACCACGUCUCUUUCCUCUAACCCUCCUCCAGUGUGGAACAAGGAGAUACGUGGCAUAAACGCGUUACAUAAAGUGUUUGUAUGCAACUCAGAUGAUGUACCUGUUAUUCUGGCCAUAAUUUGGUGUUUACAAUUUUCUUACUUGUAAAUAUUUUACUGACACAAAAAUGGCCAAGCACAGCAGUAUAGCUUAGAUGUGGUAAAAUAGAAUGGAUCCAUACUUUGCAAUGCAGAGCAUGCCUGAGACUAUUUAAUGGGUUUAUAUACUAUUCAAAUCUGAAGAAAAACAACUGUAGAUAAUAAGCUGCAUGUCCAUUUCUAAUGUAUUUUUUGAAAGUAUGUGUUAUAAUAAUUUCCCAAGAGGAGAGUUACUCCUUAUGAUUUUUUUUAUGCAUUGGGAUAGAAUCUAACAUCAUUUUGAAGGCUUAGUUUUAACCUAGUUUAUCCUUGUGCUCCCACUGACCUCAGCUAAACAAGGAAACAAAGCUGUUUGAGUCUGUAUUUGUGUAAUUAGGGCAAUGCUUGGCUUCCUGAUUUUGUGUGAAGAACAGGUUGAUGAUGUUUAUGAAGAGAAAGAAUGGACUUAGAAGCAUGCUUCUUUAUAAACAUAUAGAUUUGGAUAAGUUGCCUGGUUUGACCAUGUUGUCCAGUUUUCUCAUGCACUGAAAAUCUCCGUCUGAUGUCCUUCCCGGAAUAGGAAGUCUGAUGUUAUGUUUAGCCUUGGGCAUUUUGUAGAGUGGAAAACAAUGAUUCUUCCUACACUGAUAUAUGAAUGACAUGUGCUGUAUCAUUCAUUUUCAUAACACUUUUCUGUGGCUAAGGUCCAACUGUUUGAUGGAAUUUAUUACAUUUAGUGACAUCAACCCGUUAAAA